rnacentral:rRNA from 2 species
UGCAAGUCGAGCGGAUCGAUGGGAGCUUGCUCCCUGAGAUCAGCGGCGGACGGGUGAGUAACACGUGGGUAACCUGCCUGUAAGACUGGGAUAACUCCGGGAAACCGGGGCUAAUACCGGAUAACACCUACCCCCGCAUGGGGGAAGGUUGAAAGGUGGCUUCGGCUAUCACUUACAGAUGGACCCGCGGCGCAUUAGCUAGUUGGUGAGGUAAUGGCUCACCAAGGCGACGAUGCGUAGCCGACCUGAGAGGGUGAUCGGCCACACUGGGACUGAGACACGGCCCAGACUCCUACGGGAGGCAGCAGUAGGGAAUCUUCCGCAAUGGACGAAAGUCUGACGGAGCAACGCCGCGUGAGUGAAGAAGGUUUUCGGAUCGUAAAACUCUGUUGUUAGGGAAGAACAAGUGCCGUUCGAAUAGGGCGGCGCCUUGACGGUACCUAACCAGAAAGCCACGGCUAACUACGUGCCAGCAGCCGCGGUAAUACGUAGGUGGCAAGCGUUGUCCGGAAUUAUUGGGCGUAAAGCGCGCGCAGGUGGUUUCUUAAGUCUGAUGUGAAAGCCCACGGCUCAACCGUGGAGGGUCAUUGGAAACUGGGGAACUUGAGUGCAGAAGAGGAAAGUGGAAUUCCAAGUGUAGCGGUGAAAUGCGUAGAUAUUUGGAGGAACACCAGUGGCGAAGGCGACUUUCUGGUCUGUAACUGACACUGAGGCGCG